CUAUCUGCGCUCUUUUGAUCCUCGCCCUGGCAUCCGUCCAAGGUGAUCCCAAGCUCAGAUAUCCCGGAGUUAAAAGUAAUAAAGGACCUAUUCAAUAAAAUAAAGUGCAUUAUUCAGAUUCAGUAAAAAUCAGUCGAAAUGAGAUUCUUUGCGGUCUGCUCUUUUUUACUCCUGACAGUGGUCGUCGGAAUGGCGAAUCCAAAGCCUUUAACCCCGAAGACGAUAAAAGUUGUCCAGUGAACUGGCUGUUUAAAUUAUAGCUUAUAGUCUUAGAAGUUGAAUUUACUUAAUGCCAAUUAGCACCGACAACAACGUUUGUUAACCUGUUUUGAUUAAUAUGCAUUGUCAUCAACAUUCUGCUUAAUAUAAUAAUUGAGCCAGUUGUGUUAAAAUAAUUUCGAAAUGGGAAACAGAAAUUACGAAUACUGGCCUUAGUAUGAAGUUUCAGUCUUAAGAAUAAGGUUAGAGUGUAUAAAAUAAUAACGAAUCCCUUUCAAUUUCUGGUGCAACAUGUGAAAGUUUUAAUCAUUUAAUGUUGCCUAAUAAGAGCAAUUAGCAACUUUGAAAUCUCAACAUCGCAUGUCAGCGCAAUUGUGGUCAUUACGAUAAUUUAACGAGUGCCCAGCCGUGAUUUUUAAUGAUAUUCAUGAGUUUUAUAUUGGCGUAGUCUUCAGCAAGAUAAAGGCGCGUAACAAAAAAGAGGGAAAAUAAUAUAAUAAAAUAAAAGCACCACCCCAGGUGGGUGGGUCUUCAAUGGAGAAGGGGGAUUUGGGGCGUGGACUUGGCGGUGUGGUCACGCGCUUUCAUGCCCGCCAAGAAUGUGGGGCAGCUCGGCUUUGUGGUACGAGUAUUGCCUGUGGUGUUGUAUGAAAUGCGCUCGGAAUUUGCCAGCAGCAGAACUGAACAAAAAAUAAGAAAAAUAUAUAUGUAUGUAUAUCGGACAGACCUUGUUGUCCACUCCUCCUAACUCCAUCCACCUCCUUCCUCCUGGCAGAUCCCUGCCUCGUCCUGCGCCUGUGAUAAUCGCCCCGCUGGCUGCCUGACAGGCAAACAAUGCUGUGAAUUUGAUUAAAAUCAGCCAGCGUGUGCGUCUCCACUUGGCCGCUCCUCGAGCUCCUCCAGUUCUUUUCGUCCGGCUCGGACUUGUGUCGUUAUUGGAGCACUAGCAGCCACAUGUAGCAGUAUUAAGACCGACCCAUGACCAUCUCGUUUGUUGCCCCACCUGGCUGCAGGCGGUGCUGCGGUGGUUUCACUAAUUGCGAAUCGCCAAAUUUGGCCUGGGAAAGUCGCCCCUCACCCUGGAUAUAUGGAUACUUUCUAAUAGCUCAGACUGAAUUUGGAUUGCAAUGCAUAACCAUCAUUAGUGGGCUGGGAAGAUGGGGCAGUCUGGGGGCAGGAAAAUGCAUUUCUUUAUGCGCUGCUGUGGCUGCUAAUGAGCUACAGCAGCCUGGGCGACAAUUGGGCCGCUUUUCCUGCACUUUUUCAUUGAGAAAAACAGCAGGCUAGAAGGAAGUUAAAUAUUUAACAUUAAUUUCAAAAAUCAUUAAAAUUGUAAAUGAAGCGCGCUUGAGUCUAAAACGAGUGAAGAAAAGUUUCACUUCGUUUGGUUAUAAAGUAGUUUAAGGAAUUUUAUAUUCUGUUUUGGCUGUGUGCAGUGCCAGUUUUUUUUUUUCUCUGGCAUCUUGUGCAUUUCAAAUGAGGCUAAAAGCUAAUUAGAUGCCAGGAAUCAGGCCCACACCCCGCAGCGAAAUCCAUCGUCCUUUCCUUCAGUUUCGUUGGUGCGCUAAAUUUUUCCCCUGGACUGCACACAGGAGGCUCUUCAGAUGAAUGGUCGGGUGGUGGGGUUUCCUUCUGGACAGAGCCAAGAGUCUCCACCAGGAUCAUCCACACGGCGAAGCGAAACGGAUGUUCUCGCGCAGCGUUGGCUCCGGUCCUGAUUUCCCACCCACCCAGUUCAUCCGCUUUCCCACACCCACCCAGUCAGGUCAUUGUGAAUCUCGCUUUUUCCUGCCAGGAUGGGUGUGUGUAAAUGUAUGUGUGUGUGUGAGCGAGAUGGCGAGGGGGCAGCAAAAUGUUAAUAAAUCUUAUUUUUAUCAUUUGGCUAUAAAUACUGAAUUUUUAGCUCCGGCCAUGCUCAAUUUAUGGCCAUUAUUUAUGUCGGAAAAGCGAAAACCUCAAACAUGUUGCCACACUUUUUGCCCCCUGCCUCCACCGCCGCUUCAGGAUCCUUUUUGGCCUGCAUUGUGCAUCCAUUUUAUUUGCCGUUUUGGCCAAGAGAAAGAAAUAUACACAAGCCAUAUUAUUGCAAUUUUCCAGUUGCUCCGCCCACGCCGCAGUUUCAAGGAAGCGCAGGCGAGCGAAAGGCAAGAAACCAAACCAAACCGAAUGAAAUAUGAAAAAUUGCAUUACACCUUAAUAAACACCUCACCUGGCGAGCAACUCGGCAGAGUGGGAGUGGGCUUGGAGCUGCUCGAGCUGCAUCUGACGGCCUGGUAUGGGGCUAUAUACAUAUCUCCCCAAUCGCGAGCGUAGCUCCAGCUUUUGCAGCUGUGUGCGCUCCAAAGUUUGGCCAUAAUGAAGAUUGUCUGCGGCUUAAGUGGACGCACGUUGCUCAGCCGCUGGAUAGCUGGGCACUACACAGAUGGAUGGCAAGACAGGCACAGUUGAUGGACACUAAGAAAAAUUGCCAAUUCGUGAUUUAAACAGAUAAAAAUCAUGAAAAUAUAAUAUAAUACAAUUUAUGGAAAUAUUUGAAGCAGUUAAAGCUUAGUAUUCUAUCUUCCAAGUUGCUGUGUGAAAAAAAAAACACUUAAAAGUUGGGUUUUAUAUUUUUUUCCAUGUGUAUUGAAUCUGUACUUCGAUGGCCAUGGGAAGCAGGUCCUUUCCCCAAUCGACGAAGGGAACCCCGAGGGGCAAGGCUGCGAUCGCGAUCACUUAGGCGCUCAUCUGGCAUAAAAUUGUUAGAAACGCCCCGUGUGUGUGCGCCCCUGGGUAAAUUGCCUCCUUCUCCAUGAUCCUCCUCGAUUUCUGGCCAUAACGUUUUUGCCAUUAAAUUAAUAAAUUAAUGCGAUCGUGCAACAGUCGAUCAUGUGGCGGCCAGUUGCCAGUUGCCAGUUGCCAGUUAACAUUUCCCCCGCCGCCUGCCUGUCCAUUCUUCGAUAUCCAUUUGGCUUGUCAGAAUUUCCAAAAUCUCAAUACAACAGCUCAUUCGUCGGUAAUCACAAAUUUCUGAGCUCUUCUCCUAAGCCAACAGUGUUUCCAAAAGCCUUAAAAUGUAUAGAAAUUGAAAAGACUUAUAAUGAAAUAAUUUAAAAAAAAAUGUUAAAGUGUUAUAUGAUUUAAUGGAGUUCCAAAAAACAUACAACCCAGACAUAUUUGGAGCUUAUGUAUACAUAUAUUUUAAAGAUUUCUUAGACUUAUAAAAAGUUUUUUUUUUUUUUUCAAAAGUAGCAUACCACUGUGCUGGCAAAUGUUCCUGUGCCUCGAGUUUGAUUCUCCAAACUGGCGUUGCACACUGCACCCUCGGAUUCUGUGGUCGUGAUCGAAAAAGUGGGUGUUGCUAAGUGUUUUUUGGGGGCCUGAAUGUUGGAUGCUGGAUACUUGAUGCUGGAUGCUGGAUGGUGGAUGCAGCAGACGCAAUGGCUGGAGAACCAGUCUGCCAUUUUACAGCGCGGCAUCAUUAACAACUGCAACUGCAACGUGGCGGGGCGUGGUGGGGAAAUAAUUGCAUGGACGGAACUCGAGGCCGUUCCCUGGUUGCAAGUUGCAAGUUGCUGGUUGCCAGUUGCUCCAUCGCGGAUCGCUGUGUUGCUCUGUUAAUUUUACAGCCAUGUCUGAUAUUGCUAAAUGGCUGUGAGUGGAUUCGUUUAAGCACCAAUUUUAUUACCAACAAGCAUCACGUUGCAUCUCUCUCUCCGCUUUUGGCGCAGUUUCGGUCCAAUGGGGCAUGCCUCUCGGUUGGGGCUCCUUCGCUGGCUUAAACCGACUCCUUCCGUGGCCGCUGCAAGUGAAGAGAUCCAAUCAGGUUGCGCCUUUUUGCUUCAGUUGCUGGCUGGAGCAAAAACCGAAAGCAACAGAAAUAAGUAAGGAACAACCUCCACUUGUGGCCACUAUGAGCUGGCAGUUGUUAUUGCAGUUGUUAUGGUUUUGGUUCGCUGUUUUUUCCGCUGCAUAUUUUGCAUUUGGUUGGAGACUGGGCGAAAAAAAAAAACCAACAAAAUAAGCUCCAACCAGAGAGGAAGAAACAAAUACGCCCCUGCAGCUGCCAUUAAUCGUUAAUCACUGUGGCAUUGCACUCAAAUUAUAUAUUUAUUAUAAGCGAAACAAAUUUCUCAUUUUGAAUGCUACUUAAGGGACUUCAGUGAUUGCAUGUGAUAAGAAACAUCUAAUUUUUUUGACUAAAACGUUAUUAAGAAUUAAAUCUGAAAUAAAAUUGAUAUGAGUGCUAAGAUGAAUAUCUUAAACACUUUGUUUGAUUUGAUGUUUCGAAUGAACAAGUAACUAGGUUCUUUAAUUUAUUCAGAAUUAGUAUGUCACCUGAUAAGCGUUACUUACAAUCAGUAUGGGUCAAGUGUUGUAUAAACUAUAGCUGAUGCUACAACUGAGAUAUGUCAGCAGCUGGACUUAAUAUUGUAGAUAGAUCUUGAGUGUCUUGAGUGUUCGGCAGGUAUUUGUCGCGUCUUGUCAAUCGUCGGCUCACAUUACACUUGAUUGCUGAUUGGCUUUCGUUUGCGGGUUCAGCUGAAUUCCCCGUUUGAUCCCCUUUAUGGGUUAACUAACUUACUCGUUGGAGAAACAAAUUACGGCUCAUUGUGCGCCAGGGAUCAGAGAUCAGGUUACGUUGGGAAACGGGGAUUCCUCCGGCCAGGACAAUGGACCACCCGGCUGGGCUUUGUUUCUGCUGCCUGGGCUUUGGAUAUAUAUUUUUUAAAGCCAGUCACGUGCCAUCGACGACGACACUUUUGACAUAUCCGGCGGACCACACGCGCCGCUGCCAACCCUGUACCAUAUAUACUCUGGCUAAGUGGAGACCCCAUCCUCUCCAGAUCCUGCGGGCAAGUGUCAGGCUAAAAAUUAGCGCAUCACGUGCGCCUUCGGGGCCGCAAAUGUCCUUCGAGCUGCCAGCGUUAUCCUUAUCGGCAGCGCUAUCGAUUUCGUUUAAUAUGUUAAUCUGUGCCAAGGCGAGUGGUGGUGUCCCCACCCCAUGUCCUAACCUUGGACCUCCCGCUCCUGCAUCGCAAGCCACUGCAUUGUUAUCUGCUAGCCUGUUCAUUAGCAGAGGGUAUCAUUAAAAAGUAGAGAAGAAAAUCUCAGCAUUUUCGGAGUAUUUUUCCAAUGCAGCUAUCGGAGGCUUCUUUGCGUUUUUAUUGAGCAGGCAUAAAAAUUAUUUGUCCUGAUCCGAUUGGAGUCCAUCCACUUAAUGGCCAACGAAACGAGCAGCCGGAGAGCAUCGAAUAAAAAUCAACGGUAAAGGCUUUAAACGGCCAUAAGAACUGCGUCCACUUAUCGCUGGACGAGAUGGAGACGGUUUAUCUGUGGAGCAGGAGCUAAUUACUCCCCUGGAUUGGCCUUUCUCCGCCACAUUUCUCCGCAUCUCUAUCGGUUUUAUGCCCGCGUUAAUUACCUGCCCGGAGAUUUCUCACCGCUUACACUUUAUUUUUAUGGCAUUUCCCGGUAAGAGCCGCGUGAAAAGUUCUCCGCACUCGAUCGAAAUGACUGUGUAACCUUUGACCUUUUUUUAAUGCUCUCCAUUCUCACAGUAGGUGAUUCACGAUGCCCAUGUCCUCGCCAAAGGCUUGGGAAUUCCUCCAAGGAUUAGGGGUGGAAAUCCUGAAAGUUUAUCCGGCGAGGGGAAAUUAUGAUGCCAGUUGAAAUCUUAUAGAGAUUUAUGAUCUUUUAAUGCUUGCGGUGAGUACAUAGUUGUUGGACAAAUCCCCCCGGUUCAAUAAAGUCGACUGUAUUUUUCUAAAAAUAAACAGAUAGAAAUGCUAAUAGUUAAUUUAGUACGAUAUAUAUUUAUAUUUCUUAUUAAAAUCUUAUAAUAUUUGGCAUAUUUUCCAUGCCUCGUUUUUUUGCCCUUAUUUUUUACACUGUUCCAGUCAUUCAUCUAUGAAUUGAUUGCUCAUUUAUAAGGCGUCUCCCCUCCAAGCGAUGGGCUGUCAAGGGAAAUGCAGGAAAACUGCUCGGAUGGGCAUAUUGUGGCAGUCAGUUAGGCAAUUUCCCAUACGCACACGCCCGUCACAACGGCCACACCCAGGAGCAGCAGAAGUAGCAUCACCAUCAACUCCACCACCACCACCGCCACCACCCAGUAGUGUCCUUCGGGCUGCAGUUGCCACCACCCAAAUCCAGUUACAAUUGCAGCAUCCAAGGAGCUGCGGCCGAGGCUAACUGAGGGCUAAGCGGAUAUUCAUUACACGAACCGCACGCCGGCACGCGUUACCGCUUUGGACGCUUUAGCACCCUCUUGUCCUUGCCGCGAGUCCUUGCUCCCAGGUCCUUGGACGAGCUUACACUUUACAUAUGUCACGGAUAUCCCCGUGGGAGGGUUUUGCGCCGUUUGACUUUUGAGCGGAGUCAGGCCGCUGAUCCUGUUUGCUGUAAAUAAUGCGAUUAACGGCAUCACGCAGGCCAGCUCUUGAUCCUGAUUUCGUUGUGUUUGGCGGCGGGGGUGCGUUGGGCCAGCUCCUUGUUAAUGAGCCACCGAAGGAACUGCGCUCCAGCGAGAGUUUCCCGGAUUAGUGCUACAAAUUCGCGCCUAAGCAUGGUGUGAAAUAUGAAAACGUACACUGUGAGAAAUUAUAUCUCUAAUCCAUCGAUUAAUGACUAUUAAAUAAAACAACAAAUAACAAUAAGCUUCGUAUUCAUAUUCUAACAACGAAGCCACACAAUCAAAUUUCG
ensembl:ncRNA lncRNA:CR45551 long non-coding RNA:CR45551